CUACUUUAAUAUAUAGAGACUCUCUGUAUUCUGUCUACUGGUUUCUUUGAAAUGUUAACGUUUACUAUCUAAGAGGUCAUGCCAGUUGCAUAUAUAUUAAAAUAAGUAAAACAUGUGACACAAGUACAACCAAUCGUAUGAUAGAUAACAAAAAUGAAAAAUAAAUAAGCCAUUCAGAGCGUUCUCCAUAUCAUGGUGUUUAGAUGGCAAGAAUCACAACUAUUACAUGUAAACUAUGAUUAUACUAAUUUAAUAUAUAGAGACUCUCUGUAUUCUGUUAGGGGCUUUCAGUGUUAGUAUAGAAAGUCCCUGAUUCUGUCUACUGUUUUCUUUGAAAUGUUUACUAUUUAAGGGGUCAUACCACUUGCAUAUAUAUUAAUAAAUAAAACAUGCUCAACUUCAUCUAAAAGUACCUCGACCAAAAACUUUAACCUGAAGCGGGACAGACGGACGGACGACCGAACGAACGAACGAACGCACGGAUGCACAGACUAGAAAACAUAAUUCCCAUAAAUGGGGCAUAAAAAUUUAUGGUUGAAAGGGAAAAUAGUGAUUUGGCAAAAAUGUAAGUAAGGUAGAGAUUAGAGGGAGGCAGGACUUAUUUAGGGGCGUCGGGAUCGGGUGUUUUUAAGCUCGGGAUUUGGGGAUUAAUCCUUACGGAAUCCGGGAAUAUAUUUUUCGAUUUCGGGAUUUUGGGAUAUGAAUUUCUUUAAUUCUGCAUCUCGGGAUUUCAUGAUUUUAAGCCCGGGAUUUCGGGAUCAGGACCCCUCCGACCACCCCUCAAAUAAGUCUAAGUCGGUCUUAGUCAUUUAUACAUGAUUCUUAUCCUACCAUUGGUAUGUUAAUAAAGCUUUUGAUACCUUUUAUGAAAUUCUCCAUACAUAAUAUCUUUUACAAAAAAAUCAUUCUACAACAGUUCACAAGCUGUAUAUGCCCGCGAAAUUUCGCGGGUGUGUUCUAGUUUUAUAGAAAUCUCCACAUAAAAAUUUAACCACGGCAGUGACACCCAUUUUGGAAUGAUAUCCCUGUAGCACAAAUUUUCAGUGACAGCUUAAACAUAUCCCAGUAAUUGGUCUGUAUGAAUUUUAUUAACAUUUUGAAAACUACCACUGUUGGAGACUCCCCCUGUAGGAAAUUUAUUUUCAACGUCACAGCUUUGAAUGUUUUGGAGUAACUCAUUAUACCUACAAAUAUUACUUCAAAUGUUUCUUUAAUUCAAUUAACAAAUGAUUAAGCCAAUAAUUUUAUUUUUAUUUCAGGAUUUUAAAGUUUUACCUAAUUACUAUUGGUUAUAACCCUUAAACAAGAAAUACACUUGGCCGGGUCUUUCUAAAGAUAACUUUGCUACAUUAUCAUAUGAAGACCAAUUCGAUAAAGGGGCAUUCCUUUGCAUUGAUAGAUUUCCCCCUGCAUUCAGUCGACAUUUGGCAGUAUUAUUAGUUACACAAAGUUAAGAGUUGUCAUGUAAGCAUUUCAAACUCUGGAGAUUAAAGUUGGUACAGGUAUCACAC
rnacentral:lncRNA from 1 species